UCCGAGUGGUCCAAUCGUUAGUCGGAAUCACUGGGCUUAAAGGGUGCGUAGGCGGAUCGGAAAGCGUCUUGUGAAAUCCCCCGGCUCAACCGGGGAACAGCAGGGCGAACUACCGGUCUUGAGGAAGGUAGAGGCCGGCGGAACGAUCGGUGGAGCGGUGGAAUGCGUAGAGAUCGAUCGGAACGCCAAAGGUGAAGACAGCCGGCUGGGCCUUUCCUGACGCUGAGGCACGAAAGCGUGGGGAGAAAACAGG
rnacentral:rRNA from 1 species